CAUACGUUUGCGAAUAACAAACCAAAAUGAAAACAAGAAAAGGCUUGCUCUCGGCCUUUACUGUAACUUACAGAGCAAGGAGAGUCUGUUAAUAAUAAAUAACUUAUAACUAGACAACAACGAUAUAACAAAUUAGUCGGUUAAUAAAAGUAGCUAACAGAGCGAAUUGGAAUAACCACUUAUGAAUAAGAAUGUAAAUAUCACAGUUUACGGGAUUGUAUAUGUAGUUAAAAGCUUAUAUACAUAUAACAUGUUUUGUUUCUAUCAGUUAGAAAAAAUAUGUAAAACGAAUUGAGCAAUGCUCGUGGUAAUAUAUCAAAAUUAAAAGGUAAUAUAUCAACAGUUUCUUCUAUCAUCCACGAUGAGAUCCAGGCGAUGUCUUGUUAAAAAGUUCUGGCAAUGUGGACGGGGCUGAUUCGUUGUCGAUGGUUUCAUUGAUAACGGCAACUGGAGAAAGAUCGUUUUCAUGUGUGGCCAUUUUUUUACAAAUAUAUUCAGAUGCUUGAACCCAUAUGCACAUAAUGGUUCAAUGUUUCAAAUAUUGUAGAUGACUUUUCUCUCCAGGAUUUGCAACUCUUUGGCCACUGUCGAUACAGUAAACCAGAUAGGAAAGCCGUAUAUCAGUAUGGGUCUAAUGACCACUUUAUAAAGCAACAAUUUAGGGGACUGCGGUAAGUAUUUACUAUUGAGCAAAUAUGAAAAUGAACCCAAAAUUCUGUUAGCCCUUUGUAUUGAACCUCUAGCAUGCGGAUUGAAUUUCAGCAUCUUAUCAAAUGUGAAGAUAUUUAACUUUGGAUUCCACUGGAAUAUUGACACCAUUAAGGGUUAGUUUCAAUGUUUUGCUCUGCGGUACGACAUGUUUGGGGCAUUUACCAGAUGCAUUCCUUAUGCAAAUUGCUUUUUAUUUGGCGGCAUUUAUUUUAAUACCCCACGUAUUAUAAUAGUCAUCAAUUUGUCUGAGAUGUGCUGCUACUUUCGCCAUUGCUGUUUCCGGGGACUAACACUGCCUUGGGGUACUCCGCUACAAACAGAUCCAAAGUCUGACACUGUGUUUUGGACAUAUACGCAAAAUUUUCUAUUUGUUAAAAAACUGUGAAGAAUUUUUACCAGGAUGUGUUCAAAUAAAUUCCCAAUGUUGGACAAGAGUGAAAUCGGGCGAUAAUCGGACGGAAUAAUGGCAUCAGUUUUCUUCU